UACGGGGGGGGCAAGCGUUGUUCGGAAUUACUGGGCGUAAAGGGCUCGUAGGUGGCCAACUAAGUCAGACGUGAAAUCCCUCGGCUUAACCGGGGAACUGCGUCUGAUACUGGUUGGCUUGAGUUUGGGAGAGGGAUGCGGAAUUCCAGGUGUAGCGGUGAAAUGCGUAGAUAUCUGGAGGAACACCGGUGGCGAAAGCGGCAUCCUGGACCAACACUGACGCUGAGGAGCGAAAGCCAGGGGAGCAAACGGG
rnacentral:rRNA from 1 species